rnacentral:rRNA from 1 species
UACAGAGGGGGCAAGCGUUGUUCGGAAUUACUGGGCGUAAAGGGCGCGUAGGCGGCCCGCUAAGUCGAACGUGAAAUCCCCGGGCUCAACCCGGGAACUGCGUCCGAUACUGGAUGGCUUGAAUUCGGGAGAGGGAUGCAGAAUUCCAGGUGUAGCGGUGAAAUGCGUAGAUAUCUGGAGGAAUACCGGUGGCGAAGGCGGCAUCCUGGACCGACAUUGACGCUGAGGAGCGAAAGCUAGGGGAGCAAACGGG